AAGACGGAUGUAAGAAGUGGCUUUGCUGAGUGCACGUGGGGGACAGCAUGUUUGUUGAGGCAAUGUGCAGAAAAAAAAAAAAAAAAAGAAAACCAAUAAUAAAAAGCAGAAAAAAUAAAUGCUGUAUAGCCAGGAAAUUCCAUAAGUUAAAAUUUCUACUUAAACACUAACUCAGCCAAACAGUACAUCCUGUGUAUCUUACAAAGUGGAUUAAAUAAACUUAAGGUUUAAUAAGGAAAACAGAAAGGAUCAGGAAUCUUGGGAAUCCUUUGCUUGUAAAGCUGGACAUAUAACCAGAGUAAUUUUACAUAAACAAUUAGAGGUCACUGAAAAAAUAAUGUUUCAUUUUCUCCUUUUAAUUUUCUCGUCUCCCUUCCCUGCCAACCUCCAAGAAAACGGUGCUUCAGGACCCCAUAGGGGUUCCCACGUGAGCCCACCACCCCAUCUUCAGCUUUCCCUGCCCGUACCGCUGGUCUUGGUGUACACCCGCAGCAGGUCGGAGAGGAAGCUCUUCUUCACAAGAGCGGUGCAUUUCUCCAUGGGGGCUGCGGGACACGGAGCUGCCUCCGCUCCGCUCCGCACUGCUCCCGUUCCUCCGCCGCCGGCUCCGGAUCCCGGCCCGGGCCGCCCCCUCCCCGCCCCUCUCCGCCCCGCGGCCGGGGCUCCGCUGUGGGCACGGGCAGCCGGCAACCUGCGACCACCGAGGGCACCGGGAGCCGGGAAGGGCUCGAGGGGCACGGAGCUGCCCCGCCCCGCAGCGCCGCGCCCGGCUCGUCCCGGGGGAUUUCCCCACCCGCGGGUUCCGGAGGAGCUUUGCUCGGCAAAGCGCCGCAGGCACGGCGAGAGGGAGCCGGGUCCGAGGGUGAUGCGCUGUUUGCGAGGCUGCUGCAGGAAUGUGAUGCUUCUGUCAAUAAUGGGAGCGUUAAAAAAAAGAUGUGGAGAUGUUGGAGAUGCUCCAGAGGGGGCCACGAGGAUGCUCAGAGGGCUUCUGUGGAGACAGGCUGAGGGAGCUGGGGGUCUUCAGCCCGGAGAAGAGAAGGCUCCUGGGGCAACUUACAGCAGUCUUACAGUGCCUAAAAGGGGUUGCAGGAAAGCUGGAGAGGGAAUCUUUGUCAGGGAGCGUAGUGGUAGGACAGGGGGUAAUGGCUUUAAACUAAAAGAGGAUGCCACUGACGGAGGAGGGUGA
rnacentral:lncRNA from 1 species